rnacentral:rRNA from 1 species
GUUCAGAGAGGGGUCAAUGUCCUAUCAGCUAGUUGGGAGGGUAAUGGCCUACCAAGGCGAAGACGGGUAGCCGGCCUGAGAGGGUGGUCGGCCACAUUGGGACUGAGACACUGCCCAGACUCCUACGGGAGGCUGCAGUCGAGUAUCUUUCGCAAUGCCCGAAAGGGUGACGAAGCGACGCCGCGUGUGGGAAGAAGGCCUUCGGGUUGUAAACCACUGUCAGGAGUUAAGAAGUGCAAGGGUGCGAAUAGCGCCUUUGCUUGACUAAGGCUCCAGAGGAAGCCACGGCUAACUCUGUGCCGGCAGCCGCGGUAAUACAGAGGUGGCAAGCGUUGUUCGGAAUUAUUGGGCGUAAAGAGCACGUAGGCGGUUCUGCAAGUCGGCUGUGAAAGCCUUCCGCUCAACGGAAGAACAGCAGUUGAUACUACAGGACUAGAGUGCGGGAGGG